CGACCAGACUCCUACGGGAGGCAGCAGUGGGGAAUAUUGGGCAAUGGGCGCAAGCCUGACCCAGCAACGCCGCGUGAAGGAAGAAGGCUUUCGGGUUGGAAACUUCUUUUCUCAGGGACGAAGAAAGUGACGGUACCUGAGGAAUAAGCCACGGCUAACUACGUGCCAGCAGCCGCGGUAAUACGUAGGUGGCAAGCGUUAUCCGGAUUUACUGGGUGUAAAGGGCGUGUAGGCGGGACUGCAAGUCAGAUGUGAAAACCAUGGGCUCAACCUGUGGCCUGCAUUUGAAACUGUAGUUCUUGAGUACUGGAGAGGCAGACGGAAUUCGUAGGGAAGCGGUGAAAUGCGUA
rnacentral:rRNA from 1 species